GCCAGGCAUGGUGGCGCAUGCCUGUGGUCCCAGCUACUUAGGAGGCUGAGGUAGGAGGAUCACUUGAGCCUGGGAAGUUGAGGCUGCAGUGAGCUAUGAUCGUGCCACUGCACUUCAGCCUAGGUGACAGAGAGAGACCCUGUCUCAA
rnacentral:SRP_RNA from 1 species